GAUGAACGCUGGCGGCGUGCCUAAUACAUGCAAGUCGAGCGAACAGACGAGGAGCUUGCUCCUCUGACGUUAGCGGCGGACGGGUGAGUAACACGUGGAUAACCUACCUAUAAGACUGGGAUAACUUCGGGAAACCGGAGCUAAUACCGGAUAAUAUAUUGAACCGCAUGGUUCAAUAGUGAAAGACGGUUUUGCUGGCACUUAUAGAUGGAUCCGCGCCGCAUUAGCUAGUUGGUAAGGUAACGGCUUACCAAGGCGACGAUGCGUAGCCGACCUGAGAGGGUGAUCGGCCACACUGGACCUGAGACACGGUCCAGACUCCUACGGGAGGCAGCAGUAGGGAAUCUUCCGCAAUGGGCGAAAGCCUGACGGAGCAACGCCGCGUGAGUGAUGAAGGUCUUCGGAUCGUAAAACUCUGUUAUUAGGGAAGAACAAAUGUGUAAGUAACUAUGCACGUCUUGACGGUACCUAAUCAGAAAGCCACGGCUAACUACGUG
rnacentral:rRNA from 1 species